ensembl:lncRNA
GAGCUCCCAGUGUCACAUGAGGUAGAAUUAUGUAACCUGUCAAAGGCCCUAACUCUGGGGCAAAGAAUUUUGUGCUCCACCCCAACCGCACACUGGUGUAAAUAUUUUAGGUUCUCCAUAACAUCAGAGUUAGGACUGACUUUCCUGGAAUGAAAUUCUAAAAUAAAUUGACAGCCAAAUACUCUGUGGAAUUUCUAAAUGCCAACAGGUUUGUUACUAUUAUAUAAUGCAGCAGUUUUGUUUUUAGAUAGGCUCUUUCUCUUUUCACAACAUUAGUGUUUCCAAAAUUUCUGUAUUCCCUGCACCACGGGGUUCUAGUUCUUGGUUAAGGAGAGAAGCAACGAGGGUGUACAAAGAAUAUUUUGCUAUUUCUUUCAGUGUGAAAUUUUCCUGGUCUGAAGCACUGGAAUAUUUUUUGUCAUUAUGAAUCAUUUUUCUGGACCUCUGUUACCCAAGUUUUUAAAAUCAGUUCUCUGUACAGAUACUAUCUCUAGUUUUGAUUUUUUUUUUUUUUAUGACUAAGGUCUUUGAUGGCAUCAGAAGUGCCCAGGGCUGGAAGACAGUCUCAGAAGGUCUUGUCAGAACUUUGAUCAAAGAGAAAACCACAUGCUUAUACUCCACACGUGUGCAUGUGCCUGGGCUGCCACCGGUAGCCGUCCAGGGACAAUUGUUUUUGUUUUUGUGUAGCAUCCCUUUCAUCUCCUCCUCCUCUGUAGAGCUGGAGACACAGCCUAAGGCUUUGGUAAUGCUAGGCAGGUUCACCACCAUCAAGCUGCAUCCGGAGCCCUGCCUUUCCUAUUGUCAGUGUUAUUAUACUAGCCCCACCCCCAAGUUUUCGUACAGUGAGUUUCCGGUGCCUUAUGAUUCCAAACGUGAGUCAAGUGUGUGGCCAAUGCCAAUUUAAGCAGAAGGACCCUAGAAAUAUUGCAGGGACUACAGGAAAAAGCCAUUUUCUUUUUCCUGGUGAACUGCUACAUACAAACUUGAGAUGGGUUUUCCUAAUGGAAGGCAGAGAAACUCAGCACCUACUAAGAGUCUUCAUAAAGACAUAUUCAAAAUUGCCUUUAGUCCUGGAAUUUCCAUGAACCAUGUUCUGUCUGCCUGCACGACAGAAGAGGGCACCGGAUCUCAUUACAGACGGCUGCGAGCCACCAUGUGGUUGUUGAACCCAGGACCUCCGGAAGAGCAGUCAGUGCUCCCAACCUCUGAGCCAUCUCUCCAGCCCCCUCUUUUUUGUUUUUGUUUUAUUUUUUGAGACAGAGUUUCUCUGUGUAACAGCCCUAGCUGCCCUUGAACUCACUCCCUUUGUAGAGUAGGCUGGCUUUGAACUCACAGAGAUCCACCUGCCUGUAUUUUCUGAUUAAAGGCUGGGAUUUAAGGCCUGCACCACCACCACUCAGCUCUCCAUACACUCUUAAGGAGUAAAAUCAAUGUAGAAAACAUUACAUAUAACUGUGUCUAUCAGUUAAUCUACAACAGUUAGACAGUGGCCAGACAGUUUCUACUUUGGAGUUUUGUUUGACUCAUGGAAGCUUUUCAUAGCCCAAAUUAAAGAUGAAUACUCAGCUAGUAGCAGAGUUUUGCUUGAAAGAAGAACAGGAAUGAGCACUCAGGAGGCAUGACCUCAGCCAAGACUGACACCCUCAGAAAGUGGAGCUGUGGAGGAAGUGAAGGUGGGUCACAGGCUAGGAAAGAACAGGAAAGCUGAAGACCUGCAAUACUACCUUGAGCCCAGGACAUUGGCUGGUGGAGUCCAUGCUGUGUGCAAACCAGAUGAAUGGUACCUGCUCCCCCAAAGGAACAUACAAGGAUUCAGAAACUCAUGGAGAACACUCUGAAGACAAAAGAAGGAGCUACUACUGUGUCCGAUAAAUGGGGCAGGCAAACAAAAGGAUGAAGUGAUUCUGGGCAUCAGUGGAAUGAUGACCAGACAUAGAAGACAAGACAUGAAACACAAGCAAACAGCAAAUCCCAGCAGACAGCCAUUAGUAAAGGGUACGGACUGCAAACAGCAGCUCCCAAACCUGAAAGAGAAGUUUGGAUCAGGUUGAGAACAUCCGUGCGAAACCCAUCCAAAGACAUGGAGAAAGUAGUUCUGAAAGUGACCACAGAAUAACAUCCAUAUCCUGUCCUUGACUUUGGGUCAAUGUUGGUGGCCAUUUAUAUAUGAAGGAUCUCUUCAGACUCAACAAAUUAUGCCAACAAAC